rnacentral:rRNA from 1 species
GCUGUCUCCGGGCCAGCUGUCGGGUUAAUACGUAGGGUGCGAGUGUGAAUCGGAAUUACUGGUCGUAAAGGGGUCGCAGUCGGCGCCGCAUGUCGGGCGUGAAAUCCCCGGGCUUAACCUGGGAAUUGCGUCCGAAACUAUGGAGCUGGAGUGUGGCAGAGGGAGGUGGAAUUCCACGUGUAGCGGCGAAAUGCGUAGAGAUGUGGAGGAACACCGAUGGCGAAGGCAGCCUCCUGGGCCAACACUGACGCUCAUGCACGAAAGCGUGGGGAGCAAACAGGAUUAGAUACCCGGGUAGUC